AUUGAACGCUGGCGGCAGGCCUAACACAUGCAAGUCGAGCGAGCGGAGGACGGGUGAGUAAUGUCUGGGAAACUGCCUGAUGGAGGGGGAUAACUACUGGAAACGGUAGCUAAUCCCGCAUACCAUCAGAUGUGCCCAGCGGGGAUUAGCUAGUAGGUGGGGUAACGGCUCACCUAGGCGACGAUCCCUAGCUGGUCUGAGAGGAUGACCAGCCACACGGGAACUGAGACACGGUCCAGACCCCUACGGGAGGCAGCAGUGGGGAAUAUUGCACAAUGGGCGAAAGCCUGAUGCAGCCAUGCCGCGUGUAUGAAGAAGGUUUUCGGGUUGUAAAGUACUUUCAGCGGUGAGGCGUUACCUGCAGAAGAAGCCCCGGCUAACUCCGUGCCAGCAGCCGCGGUAAUUC
rnacentral:rRNA from 1 species